GACCACUUGGAUCACUAAUGAGAUGAAGGAAGAAGAGCCCAUUGGUGGAAAAAAAGUCAGAGGAUGAAGGAAUUGAAAAGGAAAACUUAGCAAUACUAGAGAAAGUUUGGAAGACUCAAAGGCAAGACCAUUUCAGUAGCUGCAUCCAGGAGAUCUUGGAGGAGAUGGUCUGUGGCUUCAACUAUUCCAACUCCCUAGACAAUUAUCAGGUGCACCAGAGAAACAAGGAUCAGUGCUGCUCUGAGUGUUUCCACAGGAGUGUCGCACCAGCCCAACCGCAGAGACCUCUGAACCUCCACGCCUAUCCUCCAGCUACGUAUGAUGUGGGAAGACACUCUUCACCUGUAUUGGAUAAGUGCAGAAUAUAUUUCAUGUUUUUUAGGAGUUGGUGGGGGGGGGGUCACAAAGCCAUGAGUAUCUUUGCGUUUUACUUCUGUUUUUAUUAUUUCACGUACUCCUCCCAGCUAUCCUGUGUAGAAGCCAGCUCCACUGUCCCUGCAGACCUUCUCCGAGCCUUUCCAAAUCAUCACACUAAGAGGGUGAUUUAACACAAAAGGGUGUGAUGAAGCCAUUUUAUAUGUUUUCAUAUAGAAUGUUUAUAUAGUUUCUCUCAAUAGAUUCUAUAUGUUUCUCUAUAACAUGUCGUCUCUCAGAACACAUCAAAUCAUUGUAGGCCCAACAGGACAUGAGCUGUAUCCCUAUAGAUCUUAUAGGUCCAUAAAUGAGGCGGUCUGCCACACGGAUUCAGAUUUUCGAGACCCUUGGCACGUGACCUGAUGCCAUUCUCUUGCCAUUUCUGCAGUGCUGCAAGGAACACCGUAUGUGUCCCCACAGACUGUUUUGGUUGCUAGAUCUGCCAUAACCUGGAACCCCAGAUUAGGGGGAAGGCCUCUGAUGCCUCCUGGCACCAGUAGCUGGCUCUUUUUGUAAUGACCCACCCAGGAGAUCUUGGAUGAGUUGCUCCAAGAGUUGAACUCCUCCAACUCCUCUGACAAGCACAGGGGCAUCAGGCCACCAACUACUUCCAUUGAAGGUCUGCGGUAAGAACAGGUCCACAUUCAUGGUCAAACUCAAGACACAGAGAUGAUCAGGGCAAGACCAGAACACAGACUAGAAACAACUGAUGCCCUUGGGCCUUGCAGGAGAAGGUAGUUUUCCCCUGACCCUUCCUCCCUAUGUCAGGAACAGACCAAGCCACAUCAGCUUAAGGGAAACCCCAUGCAGCUCACGCUCUGGUCUCUUCUCAGCUGCAAUGUAUGUGAUCUUAAGCAGCAUGUGAGGGUCUAGCCCUCUGUGUUCUGUGUGAGGCCAAAACUGAAGACUUAAUGGCAUACUGGUCUUCAUAAAACUAUUAGUUGAGAGGAAUGCUGUUGUUGCUCAGCUAACAGAAUGUGUUGAAGUUUGCCAUGUCUUCCCUAAAACCAAUGAUACUUUGAAGCCUCAAACCUUUUUCUGUGUGGGCACUCAAGUCCCUUGUCCUGUAGAACUUCCCAAGGGGAUGGGAGUCUCUGGUCUGAGAGCCAGACCCUGAUCUUCACAGUGGUUCUUGGUUUGGAAGCUGACUACAGUGCUCCUCCUUGUGUCUCUGGUGUGAAAAGGAAUCAACCUUAUUCCUGGGUGAGGCCAGGACCAUGCUGAUGCUCAAAGAAGGGAGAAUGGAUAAUUUUGUACAGUCCUUGGUACCAUCCUUCCAGGAUAGAAGCCUCGCAAACAACCCAGUCAUUUCCUGUAUCUACCAGGUGUUCACCACAGCCCAACAGGUCCUGGGCCAGCAAUUCCCCAAGAUCUGUUCAAGAAGCUGCUGCCCCAACAGUGCCUGGGUGCCAUUUGGUCCAAGCGAAAUGAACCUGGAAAUGAGCACCUGCCAUGCACAGUCCAUGCCACCAUCACCCAGUUCAACGAUGUGUCCAACUGCGUCAUCACCACCUUCCUUGGCAACGCACGCAUGAUGGCCCGGGACAGGCCAUGGUGGUGGAGCACUGGAUCAAGGUGGCCAAGGCCUGUCAAAUCUUGCGGAACUACUCUUCCAUGAAUGCCAUCAUCUCUGCUCUUCAGAGUGCCUCAAUUCACCGCCUGAAGAUCACAUGGACCAAAGUUUCCAGCCCUGCAGGAACGUCCAUCUAAACUUGGAACCCUGGGGGUAAAUGUUCAGAGAGCAUGGAAGAGGGAGUGGCAGAAGAAGCUGAGCAUGGCCCAGAUACAUGGCCUCGAAUCCAGAGGAGACGGGGGUCUUCUCUGAAAGCUGGAAGCCCCCAAAUCAAGACAGGGCAAUGAGUUCAACCACCGGAAGAAGAAUAAGGAAUGCAGAUUCAUGACCGAGAUCAUGCUGCUCCAGGUGGCUGCAGAUCAUUACAACGUAGAGCCCAAGCAUCCAUUUAGGGCCUGGUUCCAGUCUGGGAAGUGGCUCAGUGAAGAGGAGAGCUACAUCUUGUCCUGCUAGCUGGCGCCCCAAACCUAGCUCACAAACAGAAAGAACUGGCCACAGUCAACCUCAGCCUGAGCUGGUGUCCAGGGGCAACAGCGGGCAUGGGACCCGUCUGCUCAACAACACUUCCUUCCGUCUCUUCACUUAUUUGGAGGACCAAUAUUUCAUCAUCUUAAAGAGUAAAUGGUAGAUUUCAAUAUUAUAAUAUUAAAGCCUUUUUAGAGUCCAGGAGUAGUUUCGUUCUUUUACUUCCUAUAGUAAUCUAAAAGACUUGAAGAGUCUCAUAUUCAUUUUCUUUU